rnacentral:rRNA from 1 species
GAUGAACGCUGGCGGCGUGCCUAAUACAUGCAAGUCGAGCGAACAGACGAGGAGCUUGCUCCUCUGACGUUAGCGGCGGACGGGUGAGUAACACGUGGAUAACCUACCUAUAAGACUGGGAUAACUUCGGGAAACCGGAGCUAAUACCGGAUAAUAUAUUGAACCGCAUGGUUCAAUAGUUAAAGACGGUUUUGCUGUCACUUAUAGAUGUAUCCGCGCCGCAUUAGCUAGUUGGUAAGGUAACGGCUUACCAAGGCAACGAUGCGUAGCCGACCUGAGAGGGUGAUCGGCCAAACUGGAACUGAGACACGGUCCAGAAUCCUACGGGAGGCAGCAGUAGGGAAUCUUCCGCAAUGGGCGAAAGCCUGACGGAGCAACGCCGCGUGAGUGAUGAAGGUCUUCGGAUCGUAAAACUCUGUUAUUAGGGAAGAACAAAUGUGUAAGUAACUAUGCACGUCUUGACGGUACCUAAUCAGAAAGCCACGGCUAACUACGUG